CCGCCCCGCGCCUUCCCACAAUGCCCGAAGGGACUCCCGGGAGCCACCGCCCGUCGGGGAACGCUGCGGGGGCCGGGGCGAGGGUUGUUUGGGUGAGAUGGAGAGCUGAUCCUAAGCCAGUUACUAGCAAGGUUUGAGGGUGAAUGUCUUCCACUGGUCCAAGGUCAAAUGCAGCAUCAUGGGAGUGGAGGACUUCUGUGGACAGACAACAGCCAGUUCAGACAUGAGAACUGUGCUCCCUGAAGCAUCCCUUACCUCCCACCAAGAUGCACAGUACUGGUCAGUAGCUAUCUACUCCAUGAUGCAUAAAUCC